rnacentral:sRNA from 1 species
UCCUCUUCAAUGGUAGGUUCACAUGAUUUCAAAAGAUCCCUUUUGCCUGCCCCAAUAGGUGAAUUAGCCAUCUGCAUCUGAGGUUUAAAAGGAUCAAUUGUAUCUUCAAUGGAAGGUUUAGGAAUAACAGGUGAAUUGGUAACAGGUUCUUGAGGUUUCAAAUGAUCCCUUUUGCCUGCCUCAAAAGGUUGUCCCAAAACAGGUGAAUUAACCAUCUG